rnacentral:rRNA from 1 species
AUUAGGUAGUUGGUGGGGCAACGGCCCACCAAGCCGACGAUGCGUAGGGGUUCUGAGAGGAAGGUCCCCCACAUUGGAACUGAGACACGGUCCAAACUCCUACGGGAGGCAGCAGUGAGGAAUAUUGGUCAAUGGCCGGAAGGCUGAACCAGCCAAGUCGCGUGAGGGAAUAAGGCCCUACGGGUCGUAAACCUCUUUUGCCAGGGAGCAAUGCCGUCCACGUGUGGACGGAAGGAGAGUACCUGGAGAAAAAGCAUCGGCUAACUCCGUGCCAGCAGCCGCGGUAAUACGGAGGAUGCGAGCGUUAUCCGGAUUUAUUGGGUUUAAAGGGUGCGUAGGCGGCCUGCCAAGUCAGCGGUAAAAUUGCGGGGCUCAACCCCGUACAGCCGUUGAAACUGCCGGGCUCGAGUGGGCGAGAAGUAUGCGGAAUGCGUGGUGUAGCGGUGAAAUGCAUAGAUAUCACGCAGAACCCCGAUUGCGAAGGCAGCAUACCGGCGCCCGACUGACGCUGAGGCACGAAAGUGCGGGGAUCAAACAGGAUUAGAUACCCUGGUAGUCCGCACAGUAAACGAUGAAUGCUAGCUGUCCGGGGGGAUUGACCCCUGG